rnacentral:sRNA from 2 species
CCCAUCUCGGCGCCUGCGCCGUGGUCACGGGGGGACCGGACCAGCGCCUGGGGGUGAAGCCGCACGUCCGUGCGGCCGGGGCACCGAUCGCUCCGAACCCGACAGCUCACCUCGCAGGCGGCGGAUCGGAGUA